rnacentral:rRNA from 1 species
GAUGAACGCUGGCGGCGUGCCUAAUACAUGCAAGUAGAACGCUGAAGGAAGGAGCUUGCUCUUUCCGGAUGAGUUGCGAACGGGUGAGUAACGCGUAGGUAACCUGCCUGGUAGCGGGGGAUAACUAUUGGAAACGAUAGCUAAUACCGCAUAACAGUAGAUGUUGCAUGAUAUCUACUUAAAAGGUGCAAUUGCACCACUACCAGAUGGACCUGCGUUGUAUUAGCUAGUUGGUGAGGUAACGGCUCACCAAGGCGACGAUACAUAGCCGACCUGAGAGGUUGAUCGGCCACACUGGGACUGAGACACGGCCCAGACUCCUACGGGAGGCAGCAGUAGGGAAUCUUCGGCAAUGGACGGAAGUCUGACCGAGCAACGCCGCGUGAGUGAAGAAGGUUUUCGGAUCGUAAAGCUCUGUUGUAAGAGAAGAACGAGUGUGAGAGUGGAAAGUUCACACUGUGACGGUAUCUUACCAGAAAGGGACGGCUAACUACGUG